GUGCUCACUUGGGCAGCACACAGACUAAAGUACGAACGAUACAUCAAAGAUGAGCAUGACACAGCUCCUGUACAAGGACGUCAUGCAAAUCUGUGAAGCAUUCCUUGUAUUU